GAUGAACGCUGGCGGCGUGCCUAACACAUGCAAGUCGAGCGGUAUAUACUUAAAUGAGAUUUCGGUCAAGUGAUGGUAUAGAGAGCGGCGGACGGGUGAGUAACGCGUAGGCAACCUGCCCCAUGCAGAGGGAUAGCCUCGGGAAACCGGGAUUAAAACCUCAUAAUGCGAGAGGUUCACAUGGAUCUUUCGCCAAAGAUUUAUCGGUAUGGGAUGGGCCUGCGUCUGAUUAGCUAGUUGGUGGGGUAACGGCCUACCAAGGCGACGAUCAGUAGCCGACCUGAGAGGGUAAUCGGCCACAUUGGAACUGAGACACGGUCCAAACUCCUACGGGAGGCAGCAGUGGGGAAUAUUGCACAAUGGGCGAAAGCCUGAUGCAGCAACGCCGCGUGAGCGAUGAAGGCCUUUGGGUCGUAAAGCUCUGUCCUUGGGGAAGAAAAAAAUGACGGUACCCUUGGAGGAAGCCCCGGCUAACUACGUGCCAGCCGCCGCGGUAAGAC
rnacentral:rRNA from 1 species